rnacentral:rRNA from 1 species
GACGGGACCCGCACAAGCGGUGGAUGAUGUGGUUUAAUUCGAUGCAACGCGAAAACCUUACCCACCUUUGACAUGUACGGAACCCUUUAGAGAUAGAGGGGUGCUCGAAAGAGAGCCGUAACACAGGUGCUGCAUGGCUGUCGUCAGCUCGUGUCGUGAGAUGUUGGGUUAAGUCCCGCAACGAGCGCAACCCUUGUCAUUAGUUGCUACAUUCAGUUGGGCACUCUAAUGAGACUGCCGGUGACAAGCCGGAGGAAGGUGGGGAUGACGUCAAGUCCUCAUGGCCCUUAUAGGCGGGGCUGCACACGUCAUACAAUGGCUGGUACAAAGGGUUGCCAACCCGCGAGGGGGAGCCAAUCCCAUAAAGCCAGUCGUAGUCCGGAUCGUAGUCUGCAACUCGACUACGUGAAGUCGGAAUCGCUAGUAAUCGUGGAUCAGAAUGUCACGGUGAAUACGUUCCCGGGUCUU